GAGAUUUCUGUCAGCUUUAGGAGAGCUGGCUCUGAUGCAAUAAAACCCAUGAGACAGUUCUGCAGGAUUUUGGCAUGAUGCUAACCUACAAAGACAUUUGUCCUACAUCCUGCCUUCCUAUACCCUCCCAUCCUGGAUCUGAUCCCAGCCUUUGGAUUGAAGCUACCAAAAUGUUCAUUAUCUUAAGGGAGAUACACUCUGUUUCAAUGCAACUGUGAAGAGGAUGGCAGAUGGGAGGUGGCUGCCCUUGUGUAACCCAAGGACGUGUACUGGGCGGCAGGAGCAUCUGAUGUGACUACAGUCCCUAUAAACACAGUUUGGAAAAUUGCAAUGCAGGCCUCUGGCAAGAUCUUCAAGGACAGGAAUUAUAUAAUUUCAAGGAAAAGAGACAACACUUGGGCAAAGUUUCACAGAAGUUGUGGCUGUUCGAUGAAAUGAUGGAUAUUCACAGAAAAAGGGGGGAAUCCUAAAAAAUCCUAAAAAAAAAAAUAGGGCUAAAAAAAUAGGAAAGGAUAUAAGCAAAGACAAAACUCUGUUUUAUAUGUUCCACGAGCAAUGGUUAGACCUUUCAAAGAGGUCUAAUCAAGGAGGAAAAUGAUGUGAGAUACAACUGAAAGAAGAGAUUGAUAUCGUACCGAGUAGGGGGUUAAAUACUGAGGCGUCUGCCUUUUAUACAGUAAGUGGUUUCUGAGCUAAGGAUUGAUAGACAAAAUGAUACUUGAGGACUAGAACUCCUGUGACUGUGUAUGGGCUGAACUGUAAGAACAUCAUUUAAAGACAGUAGAUUAAAAGAAAGUCAUGGCAAUCCUCUAAGGGUGAUUUUUACAUCUUUGCUGUGUAUGGAAAAGCUAAUUAAAAAGUUAUCUAUUUCUUGGAGUUUCUGUUGUGUCUCAGUAAGUUAUGAUCCCACUAGUAUUCAUGA